GAAGCACACGCAGGAGAUUGAUGCCGCAGAAACACAUGCAGUACCAUGUCCUACCACGUGAGGGCGAGGGUCAUAACAGUGCCAUUUGUUUGGUCUGAGACUCUGGUUGUUCUGUUCAAAGAGACACAUGGGCUGCCUUCAUAUCCACAAAGCUGGAGACAGAGUCUUUCUGACCCGUAUCCUCCCUGCGCUGGGCCUCAGCCACCUGUGGUGCAGCUAGACCAUCCAUCUUUCCCCUAUACACACACACACACACACACACACACACACACACACAUGCUGCUAUGGGCUGUGCCCCGUAGUCAUUGCGUAAGCAUC